AUGACUCAUAAUUCUGAUGCUGGGCUGCUUGAUACCCAACUGGAGACAGAGAAACCCUAUUGCUCAGAGGGUCAAGCAAAAUCCACACCCCCCUCCGUCUUCCCCCUGGUUCCCUGCUGCACCCAGACUGGCAGUGCUCCCCCGGACACAAGCUUGGCCUGCCUCGUAACUGGCUAUUUCCCAUCACCAGUGGACAUCAAGUGGAAUUCUGGCAAAGUGACCCAGGGGGUCAAGAAUUUCCCAGAGGUGACGAUGAGAGAUGGGCUCCACACCCGGAGCAGUCUGCUGAUCCUCCCUGACAGGUCCCGGCAGGGUGACACCUACCAGUGCGAUGUGACGCAUCAAGGCACAAGAAAGACAGUGUCGAAGAAGUUCCCUCAGGAAUCCUGCCUCAGAAGCUCAGUUGACCCAACCAUCUACUUAACCAGACCCUCCUAUGAAGACAUCAUCAAAAAUUCCGGUCACGUUACCUGUCUAGUUCUGGGCUAUGACUUAGCAGCCAGCAGAAUCGUAUGGAAAGUGGAUGGGCAAGUCAGCUCUGCGGUGAAGACAGAACCCCUCAAGACGAACAGCAACGGGACCACCAGCCUGGUCAGUUCUCACCCUGUGUCGCUGGCACAAUGGGGACAAGGCACCAAAUUUACCUGUAAAGUGACCACACCCUGUUCUGGAGAACUAACCCAGGAGAUAACCAUGAGCAAUACAGGUGAGUAG